rnacentral:tRNA from 1 species
GCCCGGGUGGCGGAAUGGCAGACGCAGUGGACUCAAAAUCCACCGAGAGCAAUCUCAUGCGGGUUCAACUCCCGCCCCGGGCACCA